GGAAAAGACAGAGAGGUAAAUAUGAGAUUUAUGGAGCUGGAAUGAGCAAGCCUUGGGAACCAAAUUGGUGCACAAGGACUAAGGUCGACGUGACCUGCCUAAGGUCACAGAGGUGGUGAGUGGUGGAGUUGGAAUCCACAUGAAUCUUCUCUAGGAACCCCGGCCCAACUACAGACAUGCCCAGAUGAGCACACCAGUGCCUGGAGAGGAAAAAUCUGGAGAGGCCUUCCACAUGGCGAAGAGAAAGGGAAAAGAGUUUUGAUUUCUGUGCCUAUUAACCACUCUGACAGAAGGUUUUGUGAAGAAUGACGUUGAAGCUCUUGGUAGAAGUUAGAAAAAACAGUCUAGUUACAAGAACAGCAGAAAAAGACCUGAACUUCAGAGUGGACCACAAACCAAUAGGAAUUAAGAACACAGCUCUCUUUUCAAAAGCCAAUGCAAAAUGAGGAUGUGUUUAUGUAAGAGCAGCUGUUGUUACCCUGGGCUUAUGCUCGACAUUCUUUCAUAUGUCACGGUCAGACCUAGGAAAUUCCCUGGGAAGUCCCCUCCCUCCCAGUGCCUGCAGUUUCUCCCUUGGAGUAUAAUGCUGUUGGAUCUUGAGAGAUCUUUUGAUCUUCAGGAAGCUGUUAUCACAAAAUGGAUCUUCCUGGAGUGAGGAGACAGCGUGGUACACCGGGAGACAAAGGCAGUGGACUGCGGAAUGGGAAUCUGGGUCCCAAUGUCAGUUCUCCCACCACCUGCCUGUGGCUUUAGGAAAGGCCUGUUCCUUCCCUUGCCUCCAUGGCUUCAUCUGUCCAAUGGAGUGACAUGGAGAUGAUGAAAGUGUAAGUACCUGCCAUCAUGCUUGUAAGUGCUCAGGAAAUGCUUCCCUCCUGCCUGCCCUCAGGUUUCAGCCUGUAAAGUGAAGGAUGGAACCAGCACACCUCCGAGGCCCCUUCCAUUCUGACACUUUGUGACUCUGUUGGCAACACCUUAAGAAAUUUCCAGCUAACACUCCAGUGAGCCUUAUUCUACAAGAUUCCAUCCACUCAUGACAGCAUUGGGAUUUUGACUUUGUGUUUUAAUUUUUACUUUCCCUUAUCCUGAUUUUUAAUUUAUAUUUUCUAUUUUAUGGCUUUUGCCUUUUUAAGUUGUCACAAAUCCUUUGGGGAAUAAGACAAAAGUAUAACAAAUUGUA